GAGUUUGAUUAUGGCUCAGGAUGAACGCUAGCGGGAGGCCUAACACAUGCAAGCCGAGCGGGAUUUGUUGGUUAGCUUGCUAACUAAUAAUGAGAGCGGCGUACGGGUGCGUAACACGUGUGCAACCUGCCUUUAUCUGGGGGAUAGCCUUUCGAAAGGAAGAUUAAUACCCCAUAAUAUAUUAAUUGGCAUCAAUUGAUAUUGAAAGCUCCGGCGGAUAGAGAUGGGCACGCGUAAGAUUAGCUAGUUGGUGAGGUAACGGCUCACCAAGGCUGCGAUCUUUAGGGGGCCUGAGAGGGUGAUCCCCCACACUGGUACUGAGACACGGACCAGACUCCUACGGGAGGCAGCAGUGAGGAAUAUUGGACAAUGGGUGAGAGCCUGAUCCAGCCAUCCCGCGUGAAGGACUAAGGACCUAUGGUUUGUAAACUUCUUUUAUACAGGGAUAAACCUACUCUCGUGAGGGUAGCUGAAGGUACUGUAUGAAUAAGCACCGCA
rnacentral:rRNA from 1 species